rnacentral:lncRNA from 1 species
UCCCUGUUUCCCAGACCAUAUAGCACCAGAAUAACCUGUGAAGCUAUUAAAAAAAAACAACAACAGAUUUCUGGAGUCUACCUCCAAGAAAUUCUGAAUGAACAGGUUAGAGAAGAGCUGAGGGAUCUACAUUUUAACCAACACAGAUUGUUUGAGGCUCACCAGUCUAAAAAAAAAUCUUUAAGGUUGUUUCUAAUUCUGAAAUUCAUUAUUCAGAGUAUCCAGUUUCUGCUUCCAUGGUCUCAAACUCCCUGCUUACUGCCUCUACUGAUUCUCACCAUUGGUAGUCCGAAGCUUGGGUCUUCUGAUGCUCUACCUAUGGGAAAGAGAUUACUUCUAGAUUGCCAAGAGGAGCUUGUGUUUGAAUAAGAGAGCUCCAGUGGCCGAUGGGGAACAAUAGAAAGAAAGAUCAGAUGUUACUAUGGAAGCAUCAAAAAAAACUUGCAACUCCAGGAAAUAUCAUUGAGGCAGGAAGUCAAAGCAACAGCCCUGUGCUGGCAGGUUCUGGACUGAAAUCUUUCUGGGCCUUUUUUUUUUUUUUUCCUUAAAUUCUUGAGGGACUUGGGGGAAAGGCAUGAUUAUAGAAUUGCAGAACAGUUGUAAUAAUUUGUAAGCAAUAUCAAUUGAAAUAGUGAUUUGGCCAUGGUUUAUAAGUCAUAAUAGAAUAAUAACAUUGUACCCAUCACACAAAUAAUUAUGAAUGGGAAUGAGCCUGACAAGGACAGAAGGUUUAAAUCAGAAUGAGCAAAAUAACAGAAGCAGCAGUCUUCUGGAAGGGUGUAUUUGGCCUCCUCAUGUUCUCACUAAAAUGGACUCUCUCCUACCCCUUCAGCUGAGAAUUUAACCUGUGGGGUGCAAAACCUCAUAGUGGUGGUUGACUAGGACACCUGGGAAAGGCUCAGGAAAGUGAAGUAGGGUACAAUUGCAUCCUGGUUUUGGUGCAAAGAUCCAAGGGGAUGUGUAAGGUGUUCUCAGCACAGGAAACAGUUACCAGGUGCCUGGGGGGCUUGCUUUAGCUAAUGCGUUCGCCCCCAUGGAAUUUCUGAACUACUUUGUUUUAAACAGCCUUUGUGCAUCCCUGCAUCCCAGAGGGGACCCAAGUGUGGAAGAAAAGGUGAAGCUGGUCUUCAGCAGCUGUCCUUCCCUUUGUCUGCUCUUUCCCCGUAAUAACUAGCACCCUCGUAAGAGCUCAUGCCUUUGAGGAAGCAGAGAGGCCCUUUGAAAGGCAGUAGGAGUUUGGGCUGGCAGCCUGGGCUUAAAACCCAGGACAAUUGACUUUGUGUGACCUUGAGCAAGGUCAAGUUUACCCAUCUGCAAAAUGGAGAUUUAAAUACCUACUUAGUCGGGUUACCAUGAUAAUUUAAUGAUC